CCCUGUGCCCUGUGCAGCCCAGGCUGUCCUACGGUGUCCCUGCCCUGUGCCUCUGUCCCUGCAGGCUGUCAUCAUCCCCUGGCUGCCCCACCUCGCUGGGCCCUUCCUUUGCUGACAGCUCUGUGUCCUGCCUGCCUCUGCCUGGCCACACAAAGCCUUGGGCUGCUCUAGACCCCUUCUGGGGAACGUGUUGCACCACAGCCCUGCCCUGGGACAGAAAUUCUGUUCUUGUGUCCAGUAUGGGCCUCCCCAUCUGCCCUUUGCAUUAAUUUCUUCCUUCACCAACUGUUCUCUACUAUUUUAAAUUAAUCCAUCAUCUCUGAAACUGCCUUCAUGCACUCCCAGGGCUCUCCUCUGCUGUCCUCAGUCUCUACUCCACUGAGCACAGAGCUCCUUUGUCCCUAUACAGCAGUCAUGUGCUUGAGGCCAUAUGCACCUGGGCAAGUGUUCUUUUCUGUAGGGAGAAAACAACAGAAUCUUAGGAUUUUGAAGGCAGGUGAGAGGCACUCACCGGAGGCCAAGUCCAGCCAACCCAUCUGCUCCUGCAGUUUUUGUCUGAAAGCAACCCUUGGCAGUUUGUGGAGUUCUGGAGGUGGAAUUCCAUUUCAGUUGUGGGUGCUUGGAGCUGAAUGACAAUUCUUCUUCACAGGAAGGAAAGGGCAGAGCCCCAGUGUUUCAAAUGCUGAUUAGAGGUGGCCUCAAUGAGUCCAGGCCAGCCAGACCUGUUUGUCUUGGUAGCUUUCAUCUGGGAGCAAUCCUUGGAUAGAUGGAAUUUAGGAGGCCAAAUCCCAGUUUUGUCCAUGGGUGUCUGGACAAGAAGGACAGUUCUUUUCCAUAGGAAAGAAGGUAGAGCUCCAGUGUUUCAAAGGCAGAUGAGAGCUUGCCCUCAGGAAGUUAAGGGGACCUAGAUAUUCCUGUCUGCUUUUCUCUGGGUGCUAUCCUUGGAUUUUUUUUUUAUAGGCGGAUUUCCAAUUUUGUCCAUGGACGCCUGGACUUGAAAGAUGUUUUUUCCAUAGGAAGAAAUGCACGGCCUCCCAAUGUUUUGAAGGCAGAUGAGAGAUGGCCAAGGUCAGCCAGAGUUCUUUGUCCUUGGAUAUAAUCAAAUUUAGAGGCAGAAUCCCAAUUUCAACCAUGGGCACCUGGAGGAGAAAGGCAUUUCUUUCCCAUAGGAAGGAAAGCAUGGAACUCCAGGAUUUCAGGGCAGAUGAGAAACACUCCCAACCUGUCAAGGUUAGCUGGACCAGUCAGGUGGCCCCCAAGAGGCCAAGUCAACCAGACCUGUUCCACGUUCCCUUGGAUCCAUGGAUCUCUGCAGCAUCACAAUUGUCCCUUGGUUCCAGGCCCCGUAGUACCACAAGAGAUCUUUUUUUCCAUGAGGCCCAGCAAUAUCACAGUGUUCUCCUUGGCUCCGCAGUGGCACAAUGGUCCCGUGUUUCCAUGAGAUCCUGCAGUGUCACUAUGGGCUCCUCGGCUCCACAAGACCCCGUUCAUUCAACGAGGUCUCAAAGUGUCAGAAUGGUCUCCAGGAUUUCAUGAGGCCCCACAGUGUCACCAUGAUCUCUUUUGGUUCUGCAGUAUCACAAUGGCACCUUGGUUCCAUAAAGCCCUGAAGUACAGAAUGGUGCCUUGAUUCCAUUAGGCCAUUCUCUGUUACAUGAGUUCUUAGUUCCAUGGAGCCCUGCAGUGUCACAAUGGUCUCCUUGGCUCCAUGGUGCCACACAGUGUCACAGUGGCCCCUUGGCUCUACAAGGCCCCAGAGUGUCACAAUGGUCCCUUGGUUCCAUGAGGCCCUGCAGUGUCACAAUGGUCUCCUUGGUUCCAUGAGACCCAGGGGUUCCACAAUGGCCCUUUGGUGUCACAGUGUGUAACAACAGUAUCCUUAGUUCCACAGGGUCAGAAUGUCCCUGUGGUCUCAUGGAUCUCCACAGCAUCACUACAAUCCCCUUGAUUCCAUAAGUCCCUGCUGUGCAACAGUGACGCCUUGGUUACACAAGGCCCUGCAGGGUCACAAUGGCCCCUUGUUCCAAUAGGUCCCAAAGAGUUAUAAUGGUCUCCACGGUUUCAUAAGGUUACUCAAUGUUUCAAUGGACUUUUUGUUCCAUGAGCUUUCAUACUGCCAACAACAGUCUGUUUGGUUCCACAGUGUCAGAAUGGACCUUUUGUUCCAUGACAUUCCGUAGUGUCACCAUUGUCUCUUUGGUUCCACAAGGUCUUGCUGUGUCACAAUGCUCCCUUGGUUCCAUGCCAUUCUGUACUGUCAAGAAUGAUCUCCUGGGUGGUUCUGCAGUGUCACAAUGGAUCCUUGGUUCCAUGAGUUGCCUGGCCUCCCACAGCCUCUCAGAGACCCUUUUACCCCUCAAGGCCUCUCAUAACUCCUCCCAGCCCCUCAGUGCCCCUCAUAGCUCCUCAUAGCCCCUCAUAGCAUCUUCACAGCCCCUUACAGCACAUGGACCCUCAUGACCCUUUACAGCCUCUAACAAACUCUCAUGGCCCUUCACAGCACCUCACAGUCCCUCAUGGCCCCUGAGGGCCCCUCACAGCUCAUGGAAUCUCAUGAACUUUCACACUCCCUAACAAACCUUCACAGCCCCUCACGGCUCCUCCUGAAAGAGAAGGGAUCGGGCCCUGCUUGUUCCCCUUUUAUUUCAGUCCCUUCACAGUGAUGAGUAAAGAAAGGCUGAAAUGGAGCCUUUCCCUAGCGUUUCCCUCAGGGUUAGUUGCAGGCUGAAGUUCUGUGCUGGCACUGCCCGAGCACGAACGUCCCUGCAGCCCCAAGGCCUUUGCUGUUCCCCUGUGUCCAUUCCCUGUCCUUGAGUCCUGCCCAGCUCUGGCAGCAGCAAUGAUGCUUGAAAACCAGGCAAGAAAACACUACUCCAUAGUAUAGGUCCUAUAGAGCAGGUAUUUGUUUAUUUGACACUAUGAGUGAGGGGGAUAGCUCCACCACAAACUCACUUGUCCAUUCUCCACACACUACUAUACUUUUAUACUUUUUUUUUUAAUGUCCACAUUAUACUUUCCUAACUUUCAUAUUGUAAUAUAUUUUCUUAUCACAUGGUUAUGUAAACCCUUGUAGCACAUUGCUGGGUGUUGUUUUUUCCCCUUUUCUCUCUGUGGAAUUUCCCCCAUUAUCAUGCUAAGAAAUCUGUUGGCUGCUCGAUAGCACAGAUGGCUAGUGAGGGGGAAAGGGGAGAGACUCCUGGUCCCUUUUGUUUGGAGUUUCUCUAGCACUGGGGUGGGGAGGAGCAGGGGAAGAGGAAGAACAUCACGAGAUCAGGGGGCAGGUAAUGGUGGUGAGCUACUUGCUCUCUCUUGCUCAUUCAUCUCGGAGAAAAAAGGCCGCUGAAAAAACCCUCGCCCUGCCACACGAAUGCUGGGAGCUGCCUUCCCUCGGCAGUGGGAUCCCACAGCCCCCCCUACUCGGACGCCCUCUCACUUCAGCCUGCCACCACCAGGCACACUGCUGAGCACCGUGACCGCCACCAUGAGUGGAGGAAUCUCUUCUCCACCCUUCUCCCACCUGGGACACCACCGCCAUCACCCCAGCCCUCCUGCAGCUGUGCAGGCGGGAUCUGCCCCCACUGGUAACUAUGGCACAGGGAAAGGGUGUCUGCAGCCGAAAAAGGACUGCAACUGAAUUACCAUUCUGUUUGUUGUUAAUGUCAUAGCUGUUGUUGUUUUUCUGUUUGUCUUGUUAUAUACAUUAGUAAAGAACUGUUAUUCCUAUCCCCAUAUCGUUGCCUGAAAGCCCCUUAAUUCCAAAAUUAUAAUAAUUUGGAUGGAGGCGGGGUUUACACUCUGCAUUACAGAGGCUCCUGCCUUCUUAACAAAUACCUGUCUUUCAAACCAAGACACACAUGCACAGUUUCUACACAAGGUUGUCAACAGCCUCCAGUGAUCAUUUUGAUAAAGGCUCAGAAAACUUCCUCAGGCUUGAACUUGCUACCCCUGCUUCCUGCACAUGCUCUAUAACAUUGUCAGACACCUCUGGGCUGCACAGAUCAGGGGUACAGCUCAGGGUCAGGAGGGGCCCUAUCCACAGGGUCAGAGGCUCCAGGGCUCUCUGAGCUGCCUGGGUGCAUUGGCACUUGAUGUACAGUGGCACCUCAGAGGGGCUACAUCCUGUCACCAGCAGGAAGCCAUGGUGGAAAGCAGCAGUUUGGAGCAUUGAGCUCAUGGAUGCUUAGCCCAACCCUCAAAAGGAGACAGGCUGGAGUCUGCUCUAGGUUGGGACCCCAAGACCAAUCCUGACCCCUCAUGAGAUGCCUUGGCUUGGGCCAAAGUUUGGGGUGAGCUGGGAUGAGGGCAGGAAUGAGGUAAUGGGAUGAGAGGAGAGCUCUGAGCUCCUGGUUGGUGUCAGAAUCCAGCCAAGGCCACAUGCAGGUGGAUCUUGGUGGGCAUCAUGCCCAAGGGAGCCUCUCCUCUGCUCACCCUUCCCUUGCCAUUCUCCACCAGCAGUCAGAGAGCCCUGGAAGCUUCAAGGAUGGAAGCAGGUGCAUAGGAGAUGGCAAUACCAUCCUGGAGAAUGCCUUCUGGGAGCUGAGGAAAGUUCUCUGCUUGUCACAGCCACCAGGUAACAGUCCCAGCCUAAGGUGUCUCUGCUCCAGCAGCUUUCCCAAAAGCUGAUUGGACACUUAAGUGAAUCUCAGGAUGUCCCUGGGGACCAAACAGGACUUACACACUUAUUCUCCUCUGGGUGUGCAGGGGAUGAGGUGGCUUCUUGGUGGCUUAACCCAGCACUGAUCCUGUCUUUCAAAGGGGUGAGGUAUGCAGGCUCUGCCCCAGGGGCUGGAUGCUGGGCAGGACAAAGUGCUACUGGGUCUCUGAUGCCUUAAUGUACGAAGUAAAGCAACACAGUCCCCGGGCAGGUGCAAAGGAGAGACACUUUAUUACAAAAACCAGGCCUUUUAAAGCAGUUAGCCAAUUACCAGUUACAUUCUAUUCAUGUAUAACAAAUAUAAUUCAACCAACCACCAUAAACCAUGAUGUGAACACAUGAUGGUUUUAUAACUUGUUAUUCUACCUCCAACUCAGCUGAGUCACUUUCCCAUAGUCCUUUUCUUCUUAGCUGAAGUAGCAGGCCUGAGCCAUGAUUUUAAAAGGGUAACAAGGCUCUUAUUUUAUAAGGUUUUACCUAUAUGCAACACCUUAGGAUUUUAGCUUUUAUAUUUUUCAUAUAUUUGUAAUCCUGUAAUUCUUUAGUGUAUAACUCUAAACUCCGCACAUAAUGUUAGCUGUUGCUUUACCAUUUUAGUCAGACAAAACAAUCCCUUUCUAGGCAUGGGAAUUCCUGGAACUAGAGGUGUAGCAAGGGAUACCUUACUGUCUCAGGCCCUGAGAGAUGUAAACAAAAAUGAACUGGAGGGCAGCAAACUUAGGGUAAAUUAUUUCAUUACCUGAAGCUGUAAUUGAAAGAUUAACCACCAAUAUGUAAAUGAAAGUAUGAAAACCCAUGACCCAUCAUCCAUUUUGGGUGCAGUCCCUGGGGGCUUUGCCCAAAAUGCACUUUAAGGUCCUUCAAUAAAUAUAACCACGUUUUAUUCUCCAUAUUUUGUCUUGCCUCUGUUCUUAGGUAGCCCCAAAAUGCUGGAUACAGCCCAUGGAUUGUGAGGUACAAGGACUGCAGGAGUCAGGGGUCCACACUGCUGGUGCCAUGAGACCACAAUGAGCUGGUGAAGGAACUGAUGGCACUGGGGAUGUGGGACAGGUCCCAGAGCUGCAACAGAGGGGCUGGUGGUGCCCAGGGAAGGGUGAAGGUGUUCCCAGAAGCACGGGGUCAGUCAAGUUCCCCAGGUGCCCUAUGGCAUAGCAUGGCGGACACCGGUGGGAAUCCGUGAGGGUCUGUGGGGUGUUUGGAAGGGCUCUGAGACUGCAGAAGGGGUUUGGGAGUGUAUGGGGAGCGCUGGCAAUCGGGAGUGGUUUGCGGGGGCUGGGUGUCUAUAGGGGUCCGGAAGAAAUCUGUGCGAUUUGGGAGGGCCCUCUAGGGUGUUGCGGGAGGUCUGUGGAAGAUGUUGGGCGUCCAGGAAGGGGUUUGCAGGGACCCUUGGGUUUUGUGGGGUCUUUAAUGGGGGUCUGUUUUGGGGGGCCCAGGACAGGGCUGGGGGUUGGGUCUGUGGGGACUAGGAAGUCUAUAGGGACGUCUGGGGGGUUAUUGCGCGUAUCGGGGCAGGGAACCGCCAAACCCGUGGGGCCGGGGCUCACCUGUCUUCUUCUCACCUUCACGGCCGACGUGGCGCCGGGGUGUUCUGGUGUCCCCCCGCCCCUGAGAGCGCUGUGGGGGAUCAUAGGGGGCCUCAGAAACACCUCCUGAGUCCCCAGAAAUCCGUCGGGCUCUCCCGCCUCCAAUUGACCGCGGCUCGCGCCAGUUUACUCACUUCCUGGACUACAACUCCCGAAAUGCCGCGGGGCCCCGUAGAACGCCUUUGGGGCCGGGACUGCAGUUCCUAUCAUGCCCCGCGGCCGCUGAGGGCGCGGCCGGAGCCGGCGCUACCCAGUAAGUUCCGUCCUGACUGCUCCCCAAGGGCCUCACUGAACCGGCUGCAGGGGAAUCUCUGCUUUGGCACCUGCAGCACCUCCUCACCUGGGGAGCUGCUCACAGAGGAGGGACAACAGCAGCGAAAGGAGCUUGGGACCAAAGGAGGCAUCAGCAGAGCAAGAAACAUUUCCCAAGCUCUAGCUGGUGUCAGGUGAACUCAAAACGGGAGAUUGGGUGGGUUUGGUUUGAACCAGAGAGUGAAUUUAAGAGUAAAUUGCAGAUUUACUCCUGUGUCAGGAGCACAGAAUUCCCUGGAACAUGGAUUUGCUGCUUUAAAAUGUUGGUUUACUUUCCGUAUUUUGUCUUGUGCAAGAGGUCAGUGUUUCACCUUUUAUAAAUAAAGAGAUGAUGAUGAUGACGAUGACGCUAGUUAUUUAGGCUCCCUUGCAGCACGGCAAGCAUCUGCAAGGCAGGUACUUUACUCUCAAGACUUCAACAUGUGCAGAUUUUACCUUUCCCUUGCUCAUAAUUUCCUUUUGCUGGGCUACUCCCUCCCAUCUGCUGACCAUCCCCAAAUCCCACAAGGCCAGAGUCUUGGUUGCACCAAAAUGAAAUGAAACUCUGAAUGUUAUUUUUCUCAAGGAUUUUAAGCCUUAUAAAUCCCCUGUUCUGAAGUGAUAUGGGGUGUGGCAGGCAAGACUUAGAGGGUUUAGAGGUAAAAGCAGCAUUUCUCAUAUUUAUGAAAAAUAAAAUAUUUUCACUCAGACAUGGCAGGUUCUCUCCUGGAAGCUGCUGCAGGGUUUAGGGAGGGAAUCUGGAAAUGUCCAACAGAUCCUGAUACCUCCUUUUUCCUUAAGUGAGGACUCUGAAAUGGCAAAGGAAAAAGAUCAGGAAACCUUAGAAGCUGAGGAAAACGAUCCAAAAUGUGGUUGCUGAGGCCCUUGCCUGUGUUUUGGGCAGUGAAGGAAUAGUUGGGGUUGGAAGGCCCUCUGGAGACCCACCAAGGAAAAUGUCCUCAUCUGGCACAAUCUCUUCACCUCAGAAUGUUUGGGGUUUGGGAGGUGAAACCUAAUUUGUGUCCCUGAAGGGAUGGAUGGAGUUUUCUCCAGAUUUGGGUUUGGAGGAAACAGAACUGUAAGUGUUGCAUUGCUCUCACCUGGCUUUUGUGUUUCCCAGCCCUGUGUCACAUGGCAGGACAGGCCAGGCUCCUCCCUGCCCACCUGUCCCACCUGCUGAGUCCUUCCAAAGGGCUGUAUAGGGAGCCUGGACCCACUUCACUCCCCUCAUCCAUCCAGGAACUGUCCCAUCAUAGAAGGCAGAUUGGUUCUGUGGUGUAAUUUUAUGGAGUCCAGUGGGGAAACUUCUCCCUGCCUUCCUCCCUGAUUAUCUCAUGCUCCUCUUCCUGUUUUAUUCUCUGUUGCUAUGUCCUCCUCCCUGUGCCAUCAUUCCUCCCUGUGCCAUCACUCCUCUCUGUAUUCCCUGUCCUGCUCCCUGUGCCAUCGUUCUUCCCUGUAACUGGCACAAUUUUCUUUCCCUCAGUUUUACAUAUUCCAUCAUCACUUGCAAGCUGCUCCUGCUUUCACAGAAGCACAAAAUCAGUUUGAUUGGAAGGGACCAGUGAGUCAUCUGGUCCAACCUCCCUGCUCAGGCAGGAUCAUCCCAAGCACAUGGCACAGGGUUGUGUCCAGACCUACAGUCCCCUGUAGAUCCAGAUGAGGUUCAGUGUACACCAACCGUGUGGUGGAAUUUCCUACUGAGGUGCUGUCACCAUAUACCAACUCGUUGGCAGUGAUGUCAUGCAAAGAGUGGAUUAUUUGGUUACCAAACUCUGGCAAUAUGAAUAAAGUUCUCUUUUUCACCCUA